UCAGAAAGAAACAUCUCUGACCUACAAGCAGGAACCAAAGAUUGGCAUGCUUCAUGAUUUAAUUAAGGCUUUUAGCGUUUGUUUGCUUACAAGUUUUAACGCAAAAGGUAAGGCUGACAAAUCGUGUCUUAACAGGUUUCUGACGGCGCGCACAACAUAGGUUUCAAACAUGAUUACGACUCGUUUAACUACUUUCUACCUCAUGUUUAUAAAACAGUUUUAUGUUUUAUGUACAAAGAUGAAUAAAUGAUAGAUCCUAACAUUGUAAUUUUAAUUAUUUUA
rnacentral:lncRNA from 1 species